AAGGAGAAUCAAAUGUUACCCAGUAACUGGACAGACUCCCUGUUACCCCCUUGCAGUAUCUGUGAUGUCAUAAUGGGAGGCCUUGAGUGACACAUGGUGAAGGGGAGUCAGAAGACCUGCUCACAGGCCACCUCUGCCUUGGCAGCUGUUUGACAGCAGGUGAGUUACCUCACUUCUUAGGGUAGAUUUCUCCUCUACAAAAUGGAAAUAAUAAUACCAACCUCAUAGAUUUCUUGUGAAGAUCAAAUGGAAUAAUAAAACAGAUCUGGGAAAGCUCAUGACCAACCAGUACCAAUCCAGUCACUGGACCAUACAUUGGCUUUUAAGAGCUAUGACGGCCUCACUCCUGAGAGGUCUGUGCCCCUGCAGCAUCACACUGCAAGGAAGAGGGGAGAGGAAUGUAAGUGCCAGCUUCCUGAACACAGUGGGAAUAAGACCGAAAAGAAAAUGAUCAAGAAACCAUAAGCAGAAGGUUCUUGUCACAGCAUUUUAGGAUUAAAAAUAAAAAGAUUUACUAAAAUUAGCCACAAUGUAAAACCCCAAAGUAGAAAGCUUUAACUAAGGCAAAUGGCCUCCACACUUUAGACAACUUUAUCAACUUCAUGCUAUAAACCAUAGCAAGCAAAUUAAUUAUUCCCAGAUGCUGGGGAUGAAGAAUGCUUGCUGAAUUGUUUUGCUUCCCAAACUCUUCAGUAUAAACACACACUCACAGGAUUGCAUUCCCUUUUUUGGCUCCCAACAUGCAAGUAAUUAUACACUGUGCAGGAUAAUGGUGGGUGAGCUCUCCUCUGAAUACCAAGCAAGUUCUGGGUUCUGUCAGCCUGUUAGAUAUCAUGUCCACAAACAUUUUUCUGUGACAGUCUUUAGUAAAAACUUGUAAACAAAUUGUUUCAAGUUUAUAAAAAAAAUUUCAACAGCAGCACAAGACUCAUUUCAAAAUUAUUCCAAACUCCUUAAGAGCUGGAGAGGGCAAAGUUCAUCUCAAAUAUAGUACAGCUCUUAUCUUGCAUCAAGAAUAGUUUUCUCUGCAAUCCCUAUGACAGAGGGUCAGAAAUCAUAUUAGUAGUCUUUACAUUUUUAUAUUCUUCCCAUUUUGCCAAUAUGUAAACAAAGAGGAAAAAAACAGAUUUUGAAUCAACUGUGAAUUGAGAAUGUGUUUAGGAUUAAAACAUAGAUUCUCUGAACAUGGCCAGAAUAAUGAGAGUAGAUGGUCAUUUUUCCAUUCCAGCUCCAAAUUUUCACAGGGCAAAUGAAAUGUACUUGGUGUUGGGUGAGUCACCUAACAUGGAGGGUUUUUUGGGCUCCCUGGGCCUUAAUACUUCUUGGAGUAAAUAAACUCAGUGGAUUUGUUCGGGGUCUUUAUAUAAUGAGGCAAAGGUGUAUGUGUGCACGUGUGUGUGUGUGUGUGUGUGUGUGUGUGUGUGUAAAUGUGGUGGUGGUGGUGUGAUAAGGAAGGCACAGGGAAAACCUCAGGAACUGUUAAGGAAAAAAACACAUUUUCUACGGAAGGAAAGAA